rnacentral:rRNA from 1 species
GACGAACGCUGGCGGCGUGCUUAACACAUGCAAGUCGAGCGAUGAAGUUCCUUCGGGAAUGGAUUAGCGGCGGACGGGUGAGUAACACGUGGGUAACCUGCCUCAUAGAGGGGAAUAGCCUUCCGAAAGGAAGAUUAAUACCGCAUAAGAUUGUAGUUCCGCAUGGAACAGCAAUUAAAGGAGUAAUCCGCUAUGAGAUGGACCCGCGUCGCAUUAGCUAGUUGGUGAGGUAACGGCUCACCAAGGCGACGAUGCGUAGCCGACCUGAGAGGGUGAUCGGCCACAUUGGGACUGAGACACGGCCCAGACUCCUACGGGAGGUAGCAGUGGGGAAUAUUGCACAAUGGGGGAAACCCUGAUGCAGCAACGCCGCGUGAGUGAUGACGGUCUUCGGAUUGUAAAACUCUGUCUUCAGGGACGAUAAUGACGGUACCUGAGGAGGAAGCCACGGCUAACUACGUGCCAGCAGCCGCCGUAA